AUUGAACGCUGGCGGCAGGCCUAACACAUGCAAGUCGAGCGGAUGAAGGGAGCUUGCUCCUGGAUUCAACGGCGGACGGGUGAGUAAUGCCUAGGAAUCUGCCUGGUAGUGGGGGAUAACGUCCGGAAACGGGCGCUAAUACCGCAUACGUCCUGAGGGAGAAAGUGGGGGAUCUUCGGACCUCACGCUAUCAGAUGAGCCUAGGUCGGAUUAGCUAGUUGGUGGGGUAAAGGCCUACCAAGGCGACGAUCCGUAACUGGUCUGAGAGGAUGAUCAGUCACACUGGAACUGAGACACGGUCCAGACUCCUACGGGAGGCAGCAGUGGGGAAUAUUGGACAAUGGGCGAAAGCCUGAUCCAGCCAUGCCGCGUGUGUGAAGAAGGUCUUCGGAUUGUAAAGCACUUUAAGUUGGGAGGAAGGGCAGUAAGUUAAUACCUUGCUGUUUUGACGUUACCAACAGAAUAAGCACCGGCUAACUUCGU
rnacentral:rRNA from 1 species